rnacentral:rRNA from 1 species
UACAGGGGGCCCGAGCGUUAAUCGGAAUCACUGGGCUUAAAGGGUGCGUAGGCGGACUCGUAAGUGCUUCGUGAAAAUCCCCGGCUCAACCGGGGAACUGCGGGGCAUACUGCGGGUCUUGAGCGAAGUAAGGGCGGACAGAACUAUCGGUGGAGCGGUGAAAUGCGUAGAUAUCGAUAGGAAUGCCGAUGGCGAAGGCGGUCCGCUGGGCUUCUGCUGACGCUCAGGCACGAAAGCGUGGGGAGCAAACAGG